ACGAACGCUGGCGGCGUGCCUAAUACAUGCAAGUCGAACGAAACUUUCUUACACCGAAUGCUUGCAUUCACCGUAAGAAGUUGAGUGGCGGACGGGUGAGUAACACGUGGGUAACCUGCCUAAAAGAAGGGGAUAACACUUGGAAACAGGUGCUAAUACCGUAUAUCUCUAAGGAUCGCAUGAUCCUUAGAUGAAAGAUGGUUCUGCUAUCGCUUUUAGAUGGACCCGCGGCGUAUUAACUAGUUGGUGGGGUAACGGCCUACCAAGGUGAUGAUACGUAGCCGAACUGAGAGGUUGAUCGGCCACAUUGGGACUGAGACACGGCCCAAACUCCUACGGGAGGCAGCAGUAGGGAAUCUUCCACAAUGGACGCAAGUCUGAUGGAGCAACGCCGCGUGAGUGAAGAAGGUCUUCGGAUCGUAAAACUCUGUUGUUAGAGAAGAACACGAGUGAGAGUAACUGUUCAUUCGAUGACGGUAUCUAACCAGCAAGUCACGGCUAACUACGUGCCAGCAGCCGCGGUAAUACGUAGGUGGCAAGCGUUGUCCGGAUUUAUUGGGCGUAAAGGGAACGCAGGCGGUCUUUUAAGUCUGAUGUGAAAGCCUUCGGCUUAACCGGAGUAGUGCAUUGGAAACUGGAAGACUUGAGUGCAGAAGAGGAGAGUGGAACUCCAUGUGUAGCGGUGAAAUGCGUAGAUAUAUGGAAGAACACCAGUGGCGAAAGCGGCUCUCUGGUCUGUAACUGACGCUGAGGUUCGAAAGCGUGGGUAGCAAACAGGAUUAGAUACCCUGGUAGUCCACGCCGUAAACGAUGAAUGCUAGGUGUUGGAGGGUUUCAGCACUUCAGUGCCGCAGCUAACGCAAUAAGCAUUCCGCCUGGGGAGUACGACCGCAAGGUUGAAACUCAAAGGAAUUGACGGGGGCCCGCACAAGCAGUGGAGUAUGUGGUUUAAUUCGAAGCAACGCGAAGAACCUUACCAGGUCUUGACAUCCUUUGACCACCUAAGAGAUUAGGCUUUCCCUUCGGGGACAAAGUGACAGGUGGUGCAUGGCUGUCGUCAGCUCGUGUCGUGAGAUGUUGGGUUAAGUCCCGCAACGAGCGCAACCCUUGUUGUCAGUUGCCAGCAUUAAGUUGGGCACUCUGGCGAGACUGCCGGUGACAAACCGGAGGAAGGUGGGGACGACGUCAAGUCAUCAUGCCCCUUAUGACCUGGGCUGCACACGUGCUACAAUGGACGGUACAACGAGUCGCGAGACCGCGAGGUUUAGCUAAUCUCUUAAAGCCGUUCUCAGUUCGGAUUGUAGGCUGCAACUCGCCUACAUGAAGUCGGAAUCGCUAGUAAUCGCGAAUCAGCAUGUCGCGGUGAAUACGUUCCCGGGCCUUGUACACACCGCCCGUCACACCAUGAGAGUUUGUAACACCCAAAGCCGGUGGGGUAACCGCAAGGAGCCAGCCGUCUAAGGUGGGACAGAUGAUUGGGGUG
rnacentral:rRNA from 1 species